rnacentral:rRNA from 1 species
AGAGUUUGAUCCUGGCUCAGAUUGAACGCUGGCGGUAUGCUUAACACAUGCAAGUCGAACGGAAACGAUACUAGCUUGCUAGUAGGCGUCGAGUGGCGGACGGGUGAGUAACGCGUAGGAAUCUGCCUGAUAGUGGGGGAUAGCCCGAAGAAAUUCGGAUUAAUACCGCAUAAUCUAUUCGUAGUAAAGUGGGGGACUUUCGAGCCUCACGCUAUCAGAUGAGCCUGCGUAAGAUUAGCUAGUUGGUAGGGUAAAAGCCUACCAAGGCUACGAUCUUUAGCUGGUCUGAGAGGAUGAUCAGCCACAUCGGGACUGAGACACGGCCCGAACUCCUACGGGAGGCAGCAGUGGGGAAUAUUGGACAAUGGGGGCAACCCUGAUCCAGCAAUACCGCGUGUGUGAAGAAGGCCUGAGGGUUGUAAAGCACUUUCAAUUGUGAAGAAAAGUUAACGGUUAAUAACCGUUGACCUUGACGUUAACUUUAGAAGAAGCACCGGCUAACUCCGUGCCAGCAGCCGCGGUAAUACGGAGGGUGCAAGCGUUAAUCGGAAUUACUGGGCGUAAAGCGUGCGUAGGCGGUUUAUUAAGUCAGAUGUGAAAGCCCCGGGCUUAACCUGGGAACUGCAUUUGAAACUGGUCAACUAGAGUAUGGUAGAGGAAAGUGGAAUUUCUGGUGUAGCGGUGAAAUGCGUAGAUAUCAGAAGGAACAUCAAUGGCGAAGGCAGCUUUCUGGACCAAUACUGACGCUGAGGUACGAAAGCGUGGGUAGCAAACAGGAUUAGAUACCCUGGUAGUCCACGCCGUAAACGAUGAUAACUAGCCGUUGGGGGGAUUUACCCUUUAGUGGCGAAGCUAACGCGUUAAGUUAUCCGCCUGGGGAGUACGGCCGCAAGGCUAAAACUCAAAGGAAUUGACGGGGACCCGCACAAGCGGUGGAGCAUGUGGUUUAAUUCGAUGCAACGCGAAGAACCUUACCUGGUCUUGACAUCCUGCGAACUUUCUAGAAAUAGAUUGGUGCCUUCGGGAACGCAGUGACAGGUGCUGCAUGGCUGUCGUCAGCUCGUGUCGUGAGAUGUUGGGUUAAGUCCCGUAACGAGCGCAACCCCUAUCCUUAUUUGCCAGCACAUUAUGGUGGGAACUAUAAGGAGACUGCCGGUGAUAAACCGGAGGAAGGCGGGGACGACGUCAAGUCAUCAUGGCCCUUACGACCAGGGCUACACACGUGCUACAAUGGGAAGGACAAAGAGCCGCGAAGCCGCGAGGUGUAGCUAAUCUCAUAAAUCUUUUCGUAGUCCGGAUUGGAGUCUGCAACUCGACUCCAUGAAGUCGGAAUCGCUAGUAAUCGUAGAUCAGAAUGCUACGGUGAAUACGUUCCCGGGUCUUGUACACACCGCCCGUCAUACCAUGGGAGUGGGUUGCACCAGAAGUGGCUAGUCUAACUUUGUGAGGACGGUCACCACGGUGUGAUUCAUGACUGGGGUAAAGUCGUAACAAGGUAACC